rnacentral:lncRNA from 1 species
CUUUCCUGUUCCUGGGACCAAAUAUCCUGAAAUGGUUCAUUUUGGCUUAUAGCUUCAGAGGUUCAGUCCAUAGUCAUCUGGCUCAAAGGCAGAAACGUGGCAGAGGAACAGGAAGAUGCAAGCUGCUCACCUCCUGACAGCUGGAAGCAGAGAGAAGAAAAGGAGUCAAAGAGGAAGGCGUCAAGGACCAGAUACAGUUUCCAAGGUCGUAACUCCAUGACCCACGUCCUCCAACUCAGGCCCUGGUCCUCAUUGCCCAUUGAGGUAUGGAUUAACCUGUGGGUGAAGCGAGUACCCCUACAACUGUACCACCUCACCAGGUGUUGCUCAGUCUGGUCAAAUUGACUAUCAAGAUGAACUGACACAAUUCUAAACUGAAAAUCUACAGAUGGAUGGAGACAACACCGGCCCUCCCAGGAUCAACUUUGCAUCUGACAGAGGUGAUUAUCUGGUGGACCCAGAAAAUGCUUUAUCUCACCUGCCCUGCCACUUCCUCAGUCUGAGAUCAAUGAGGUCAAUGCUAAAAGAAGAUUUGUAUUUAAGGGAAAUGU